UACAUGGGGUGCAAACGUUGCUCGGAAUUAUUGGGCGUAAAGCGCGCGUAGGCGGUUACUUAAGUCGGAUGUGAAAGCCCUCGGCUUAACUGAGGAAGUGCAUCCGAAACUGAGUAGCUAGAGUACGAAAGAGGGUCGCGGAAUUCCCGGUGUAGAGGUGAAAUUCGUAGAUAUCGGGAGGAACACCGGUGGCGAAGGCGGCGACCUGGGUCGAGACUGACGCUGAGGAGCGAAAGCGUGGGGAGCAAACAGG
rnacentral:rRNA from 1 species